GCCAUGCGAGUUAACGUAGCAAUACGUGGCAUACGGCUCAGUAACACGUGGUCAACAUACCCAGAGGACGUGGAUAACCUCGGGAAACUGAGGAUAAACCGCGAUAGACCAUAAUGUCUGGAAUGAUUUAUGGUUCAAAUCUAUAUGGCCUCUGGAUUGGACUGCGGCCGAUCAGGCUGUUGGUGAGGUAAUGGCCCACCAAACCUGAAACCGGUACGGGCUCUGAGAGGAGAAGCCCGGAGAUGGGCACUGAGACAAGGGCCCAGGCCCUAUGGGGCGCAGCAGGCGCGAAACCUUUGCAAUAGGCGAAAGCCUGACAAGGUUACUCUGAGUGAUCUCCGCUAAGGAAAUCUUUUGACACCUCUAAAAAUGGUGUAGAAUAAGGGGUGGGCAAGCCUGGUGUCAGCCGCCGCGGUAAUACCAGCACCCCGAGUGGUCGGGACGAUUAUUGGGCCUAAAGCAUCCGUAGCCGGUUCUUUAAGUCCUCCGUUAAAUCCACCUGCUUAACAGAUGGGCUGCGGAGGAUACUAUAGAGCUAGGAGGCGGGAGAGGCAAGCGGUACUCAGUGGGUAGGGGUAAAAUCCGUUGAUCCAUUGAAGACCACCAGUGGCGAAGGCGGCUUGCCAGAACGCGCUCGACGGUGAGGGAUGAAAGCUGGGGGAGCAAACCGGAUUAGAUACCCGGGUAGUCCCAGCUGUAAACGAUGCAGACUCGGUGAUGAACAGGCUUCGUGCCUGUUCAGUGCCGCAGGAAAGCCGUUAAGUCUGCCGCCUGGGGAGUACGGUCGCAAGACUGAAACUUAA
rnacentral:rRNA from 1 species